rnacentral:rRNA from 1 species
UACGAAGGGGGCUAGCGUUGUUCGGAAUUACUGGGCGUAAAGCGCGCGCAGGCGGUCUUCCAAGUCAGUGGUGAAAGCCCGGGGCUCAACCCCGGGUCUGCAUUCGAUACGGGUCUGCUAGGGUCCGGCAGGGGAGACUGGAAUUCCUGGUGUAGCGGUGAAAUGCGCAGAUAUCAGGAGGAACACCGGUGGCGAAGGCGGGUCUCUGGGCCGGUACCGACGCUGAGGAGCGAAAGCGUGGGGAGCGAACAGG